UACGGAGGGGGCUAGCGUUGUUCGGAAUUACUGGGCGUAAAGCGCACGUAGGCGGCUUUGUAAGUUAGAGGUGAAAGCCCAGGGCUUAACCCUGGAAUUGCCUUUAAGACUGCAUCGCUAGAAUUGUGGAGAGGUAAGUGGAAUUCCGAGUGUAGAGGUGAAAUUCGUAGAUAUUCGGAAGAACACCAGUGGCGAAGGCGACUUACUGGACACAUAUUGACGGCUGAGGUGGCGAAAAGCGUGGGGAGCGAACAGG
rnacentral:rRNA from 1 species